UUAACGGCUAUGACGAGGAGAGUAGGGUAGGUUAUCAUUCAAAAGAGAGGGGUGUCACCGGCUGAAAGCACCCCGGGUGAGACUUAUCUGAAGACCACCUCUGAGCUGGCAGGAGGAACGUUAUUAAAACCAGUAUUCCUGCCCGGUAAAAACCGUUACUUUUCUAAGAGGGUUAUGGAUUAUCAUAACCAAUUAGGGUGGAACCGCGGUCCUUCUCCGUCUCUAUA
rnacentral:ncRNA from 1 species